UUUUAUAUGAGAGUUUGAUCCUGGCUCAGGACGAACGCUGGCGGCAUGCCUAAUACAUGCAAGUCGAACGCACGAAGUUG
rnacentral:rRNA from 1 species